GGAGCCGAGAAGAGAAGGGAGCAAGACGUGCGAGCAGAGUGGAGAGCGCGCCGCGGCUGAGCGCCGCGAGUACUGCGCUAGCGCGCGGCGCGGAGUCCAAACCCGGCCUUCAACUCCCUACUGAUGCACCUUGGAAAGCAGCAGAAGAUGUACCGAGUUGUUAGGCCCCUGCACCCACAUGGGAGACCCAGAUGGAACCCCAGGCUCCUGGUUUUGAUCUGGUCCAGACCCAGCUAUUGUAGCUACUUGGGGGAAUGAGCCAAUAGAUGGAAGACCUCUGCAUCUCUCACUGUAACUCUUUCAAACAAAUAGAUAAAA